rnacentral:lncRNA from 1 species
UCCUCGGUUUAUGCUGUACCUCAUCCACUUUGUCCUCUUCCAGGUACUGUCCCAUUCAUGAUUCCUAGGGUGCACAAAACCUGUAAGAGGUUGCAAGAAGAAUAAUCUUCUCCAGAUAAUAGACACGCCAUCACUAGAUUAACCCUUUAUAUACUUCAUUGUCUUGCAGAAUGCCUUUCAGCUUGCCCUUUUUGCAUGGAGCUGGGUAAGGCUCUGAAAUCUACCGAUCUUUUGUAACUACAACAGAUUGCACAACCAAGGGGGUGGGGGAUUGACUGGUCAGGAAAUCAUCGAUGGAAGAAGAAAUAAACUGAUCAUGUUUUAAUACAAUUUUUCACCUGUGAUUUUUGCAGUAUGAAUUCGGGUUUCUUUCAUGCUUCCACCAGCGUGUAGACGACAUCAUCAUCAGAUUUUCCAUGGGGUUAGCUUCCUACUCUCUCUUUAUUGCAUUUUGUUGGUUUAUGUAUUAAACAAUAUAUGAAAUAAUCAACAAAAUAAACCUUGUAACAUAAUGGCCAAUUUCUGUUAUAUUUGAGUGUGCAUGUCAAUUAUUCAGUGAGGACAACUAUAAUAUCCUAUUAAUAUCCAUCAUGAACAAAGUUUAUGGAAUCCUCAAAAUAUGUUAACUAUUCUUUGAAACUUCUAUACCAGAUAACAUUUUAUUUUGCUUUGUCUUUCUCUUCAAACAACUCAAGAAACAAUAUGAGAUUAUUAAAAUCAGUCAGAAUUACAAGAAAGUAAGCUAAGAUCAUAGCAGACAUUUAAGUAAAUGAAAAUGAAAAUAAGAAGAUGAAGCCAACGUGGGAGUUAUAUUAACUAGUUGAUCUUACCCAGACAGGUAACAGUAUGUUCUGUGAUUUUGCUUCUUGCAGUAUAUCUAAUAAUUUUUUUUUAUUUUGAUCAGUGUCCUCAUACAGGUUCUAUGUAGCUAUGUUACACUUCCCCUCUAUGCAUUGGUGACACAGGUAAACUCGAAUAGCAAUAUAUAGAUUCCAACAGUAAAUACAAAUUAUUGAUCAGACAGGAUGGUCAUUAACAGAUGGGUUCCAACAUGAGGCCUACGAUAUUCAGUAAGGGAGUUGCAACUGCCCUAAGAAAAUGGCAUCACACAGCCAGGAACCACUUGAAAGAGAAUAGUCAAUGUAGGCGCAUAACUCCAUUGUCCACAAGUACGCCUACCACCCCAACUAGUGGGUCAUCUCGGGCAAACCUGUUGCAGCGCCUUCAAAAGCUAGAUGGUUUCCAAGGCUCCUCAAAUCGCUGCAGUUUUCAUAAAGAACAUCUUGACAUUGAAAGGUCACUGUUGCCAUCCUACCACACAAUCAAUAGUUCAUCUUCUCAACAACAAAAGAUCAGGCCACAACAAGAAGUACCCUCGCCAUCCAACCACACAAUAAAUGGCUUAUCUUUUCCACAACAAACGAUCAGACCACAACAAGAAGUCGUAGGAGUGGAAAGAGAAAUGCAAGAAUCGGGUGGUUCUGUACAGUCGCCACCCCUAGAGGGCAGCAAUCAUCAACAUAGAAUUGAAAUUUCUCCUGAUAUCAUCUUUGAUAGAAGAGAGGGAUGAUCACUUAUGAAGAGAAGAAAAGGAAAUGACGGGAUCUGAUAACUGGUGUUGUUACAAGGAAUUUCUCUAGCUCGGGGCUUGUUACAAGGUGGAAGUCCCUUGAGAAAUUAUGCAAUCCACUUAUUCACCAACCAAAGAAGCAUCCUCGAUAACCUGAUGCUGUAAUUUUUCUAAAUGUGGUCAAGAUUCAGAUAUGUCUAGUGAAUGGUAUUUUGGUUUGCUAGAAAUCAUCCUUUUCUCUUUUAUGGGAACGGAAGCUGCAAAGCAGCCACCUGAAAUUUAUUUUGGUUUGCUAAAAAUCAUCAACUAACAAAUAUUCUACUUUGAGAUAUUCCGCAACUAAUUCAAAAUUUAUAGCAAAAUAGAUGAUCAACUUAGACAUAAUAAUGCCAAUGAAUCAUGGCAUAUGACUUCAAAUGCAUGUAUAGGAAAUUGUUUGAUCAAAAGUCCUCAGAAUUUUAAAAUUUUUAAGCAAGCUUGAUGGGGAAGCCUUUAGAAGCUGCGGCUAAUAUGCUUGAAAAACUUGCCAGCAACCACAACUAUAGGAAAAGGUAUCUUCUCUAUACCAAUUUAAUGAAGCAUAAAAUGAUUGAAUAAAACAUCUGAAUAACAUAUUUCAGUUAUUUACCUUUUCGAGCGAAUUCUUCUACAAGUCUCAGACAGAAAUUUAAGAGUUGUAGUUUAACAAUAAAAGGUAAUAGGGGUGAGUAUUAUCCUAUAGUCAAUAAUAAAUAUAUAACAAACAAAGUGGCCAAUUUUUAGUCUUUCACUAAUCAUGAGAACUUCCACGACUACAAAACUAAUCCUUACGCUGCGUUUUUAACUAAGGAGCCCUCAAUCCCUCAAUAAUUAACAUAUUUUCUCAAUUUUCUUCCAAAAAACGAAAGAAAAACAUACAUUACCAGAAAAAACAAAGACUUUGGAACCUUUGAAUCUGAGAAGGCCCUUGUUUCCUUUCUCCACCCCUUUUCGUCCUACUCAGAAGGAAAGCUAUCGGGCGGCGGAAAAUGGGGGGAAUUCCGGCGAGCGAAAACCUCCGGCUAGGGGCGAUUCUGCGUUGGACUCGGGACUGGAACGAGGGAAGGUAGGGCUGAGAAGAGUUGGCCUUGUCAAGAAGUAAUGGAUUUAGC